GACGAACGCUGGCGGCGUGCCUAAUACAUGCAAGUAGAACGCACAGUUUAUACCGUAGCUUGCUACACCAUAGACUGUGAGUUGCGAACGGGUGAGUAACGCGUAGGUAACCUGCCUGGUAGCGGGGGAUAACUAUUGGAAACGAUAGCUAAUACCGCAUAAUAUUGAUUAUUGCAUGAUAAUUAAUUGAAAGGUGCAAUUGCACCACUACCAGAUGGACCUGCGUUGUAUUAGCUAGUAGGUGAGGUAACGGCUCACCUAGGCGACGAUACAUAGCCGACCUGGGGGGGUGAUCGGCCACACGGGGACGAAGACAGGGCACAGACUCCUACAGGAGGAGGCAGUAGGGAAUCUUCGGCAAUGGACGAAAGUAUGACGGAGCAACGAGGAGUGAGUGAAGAGGGUGUUGGGAUCGUAAAGCUCUGUUGUAAGGGAAGAACGGGUGUGAGAGUGGAAAGUUCACACUGUGACGGUAGCUUAACAGAAAGGAGCGGCUACCUACGUG
rnacentral:rRNA from 1 species